rnacentral:rRNA from 1 species
CCUACGGGUGACAGCAGUGAGGAAUAUUGGUCAAUGGACGAGAGUCUGAACCAGCCAAGUAGCGUGAAGGAUGACUGCCCUAUGGGUUGUAAACUUCUUUUAUAUGGGAAUAAAAUGUUCCACGUGUGGGAUUUUGUAUGUACCAUAUGAAUAAUGAUCGGCUAACUCCGUGCCAGCAGCCGCGUUAAUACGGAUGAUACGAGCGUUAUCCGGAUUUAUUGGGUUUAAAGGGAGCGUAGGUGGAUUGUUAAGUCAGUUGUGAAAGUUUGCGGCUCAACCGUAAAAUUGCAGUUGAAACUGGCAGUCUUGAGUACAGUAGAGGUGGGCGGAAUUCGUGGUGUAGCGGUGAAAUGCUUAGAUAUCACGAAGAACUCCGAUUGCGAAGGCAGUUCACUGGACUGCAACUGACACUGAGGCUCGAAAGUGUGGGUAUCAAACAGGAUUAGAUACCCUUGUAGUC